AAACCAACAGGGAUUGCCUUAGUAACGGCGAGUGAAGCGGCAAAAGCUCAAAUUUGAAAUCUAGUACUUUCAGUGCUCGAGUUGUAAUUUGUAGAAGGUAUCUUUGGAGUUGGCCCUUGUCUAUGUUCCUUGGAACAGGACGUCACAGAGGGUGAGAAUCCCGUGCGAUGGGGUGUCCAAUUCUUUGUAAAGUUCCUUCGAAGAGUCGAGUUGUUUGGGAAUGCAGCUCUAAGUGGGUGGUAAAUUCCAUCUAAAGCUAAAUAUUGGCGAGAGACCGAUAGCGAACAAGUACAGUGAUGGAAAGAUGAAAAGAACUUUGAAAAGAGAGUGAAAAAGUACGUGAAAUUGUUGAAAGGGAAGGGCUUUUGAUCAGACUUGGUGUUUAGUACUCUCUACUCCUUGUGGGUGGGGCUCUUGCUUUAUACUGGGCCAGCAUCGGUUUGGAUGGCAGGAUAAUGGCGCAGGAACGUAGCUUCAUUCGUGGAGUAUUAUAGCCUGUGUUGAUGCUGCCUAUCUAGACCGAGGACUGCGUCUUUGACUAGGAUGCUGGCGUAAUGAUUAAAAGCCGC
rnacentral:rRNA from 1 species